UUUCUAUCAUGUGCUUCAUUUUCUUUUUAAAGUUUACAAAUCUACGUCAAGAAAUAGUGAGAAUAAGAGAUUUUUUUUCUACGUAGCUGAAGACGAAAAGGUCAAAAGGAAAAAACAAGUACUGGCAAUAAUAGGCUAUAGUUCGGGAAACACCCAUUUACAUUACUGUUCAAAUUGCUUAUAGAAAACCACUAUACACCAACCUCUGUAAAUCAAGCCCUAUAAUUACAAAACAAUCAAAAUGAAUUUACGAGGGAAAUAACUUAUGAAAAGUUUCUUCCU
rnacentral:misc_RNA from 1 species